rnacentral:rRNA from 1 species
GACGAACGCUGGCGGCGUGCCUAAUACAUGCAAGUAGAACGCAGUUGCGAACGGGUGAGUAACGCGUAGGUAACUGCCUGGUAGCGGGGGAUAACUAUUGGAAACGAUAGCUAAUACCGCAUACUACCAGAUGGACCUGCGUUGUAUUAGCUAGUUGGUGGGGUAACGGCUCACGAAGGCAACGAUACAUAGCCGAGCUGGGAGGGUGAUCGGCCACAAUGGGACCGGGAAACGGGCCCGACUCCUACGGGAGGCAGGAGUAGGGAAUCUUUGGCAAUGGACGGAAGGCUGACCGAGCAACGGCGCGGGAGUGAAGAAGGUUUUCGGAUCGUAAAGCUCUGUUCUAAGAGAAGCGGUAUCUUACCAGAAAGGGACGGCUAACUACGUGCCAGCCGCCGCGGUAAUUC